UUUUCUCUUCCACUUUCCUCCUCUAAAACCUUCAUCCUCACUUCUCAAACCCAUCAUCCCUUGGCUUAAAUCAAGAUGAAACUUGAAGAUCUCUUCUUCCUCUCUUGAGAAGUGCUUUUUCUUAGGGUUUGAGAAGCUUUGAGGAGGUGAGACUUCAAUCAAGGGGAAAGAGCCGGUAGAGGAGUAACACUAGAGGUUUUUAGCUCGCCAAGUUUCUGUUUGUUCAGUGAAGCCAUGCGGACGUGAAGUGCUUGGCAAGAGUCUAGUGCAGUGCAUUUAUUUCUUUUGGUUUGUGUAUGUAUAUUCCUGUACUUGGCAUGUAGGGUGUGAGAUCCCUAAGGUUACAUUGUUGACCGACUUAUAUAAAUCUCCUUCUUAAUUAUUCAUGUAUAUUGUUAUUGUCCAGGGUUGCCUGAGAAACCAUACCCAUAUUUUGGGACGAUUUGAUGAUUAUAUAUUUCAGGGUAUAGCUUUGC